UGGGGUAAGCUUCUCCAUGCAGUCGUACGAAAGUGUUAAAACUUUAGUGGGCGGACGGGUGAGUAACACGUGAGAAUUUACCUUUAGGAGGGGAAUAACAGUUGGAAACGACUGCUAAUGCCGCAUAUCAUAACUAUGAAAGAAGAAAUUCGCCUAAAGAAAAGCUUGCGUCUGAUUAGCUAGUUGGUAAGGGUAAAGGCCUACCAAGGCGACGAUCAGUAGCUGGUUUGAGAGGACGACCAGUCACACUGGAACUGAGACACGGUCCAGACUCCUACGGGAGGCAGCAGUGGGGAAUUUUCUGCAAUGGGCGAAAGCCUGACAGAGCAAUACCGCGUGAGGGAAGAAAGCCCACAGGGUUGUAAACCUCUUUUGUCAAGGAAGAAGUUCUGACGUUACUUGACGAAUAAGCAUCGGCUAACUCCGUGCCAGCAGCCGCGGUAAGACGGGGGAUGCAAGUGUUAUCCGGAAUCACUGGGCGUAAAGCGUUUGUAGGUGGUUUAGUAAGUCUAUUAUUAAAGCUUGAAGCUUAACUUCAAAAAUGUAAUAGAAACUACUAGACUAGAGGAUAGUAGGGGUAAAGGGAAUUUCCAGUGGAGCGGUGAAAUGCGUAGAGAUUGGAAGGACCACCGAUGGCGAAGGCACUUUACUGGGCUAUUUCUGACACUAAGAGACGAAAGCUAGGGUAGCGAAUGGGAUUAGAUACCCCCAGUAGUCCUAGC
rnacentral:rRNA from 1 species